UGGGUGACCUGCCCUCAGCUCUGGGAUAAGCCUGGGAAACUGGGUCUAAUACUGGAUAUUCACUGCUUAUCGCAUGGUGGGUGGUGGUAAAGUUUUUUCGGCUGGGGAUGGGCCCCGCGGCCUAUCAGCUUGUUGGGUGGGGUGAUGGCCUACCAAGGCGACGACGGGUAGCCGGCUGAGAGGGCGUCCGGCCACACUGGGACUGAGACACCGGCCCAGACCUCCGUACGGGGA
rnacentral:rRNA from 1 species